UAGAUUGUAAGGGCUUAUAGGGAAUUUCCGUUUAGGUCAACUGGAUGUUGUUCGACCAACCUAAAUAGGUGAUAUUUGAUAAUAUUAU